rnacentral:rRNA from 1 species
AGAGUUUGAUCAUGGCUCAGAUUGAACGCUGGCGGCAGGCCUAACACAUGCAAGUCGAACGGUAACAGAAAGCAGCUUGCUGCUUUGCUGACGAGUGGCGGACGGGUGAGUAAUGUCUGGGAAACUGCCUGAUGGAGGGGGAUAACUACUGGAAACGGUAGCUAAUACCGCAUAACGUCGCAAGACCAAAGAGGGGGACCUUCGGGCCUCUUGCCAUCGGAUGUGCCCAGAUGGGAUUAGCUUGUUGGUGGGGUAACGGCUCACCAAGGCGACGAUCCCUAGCUGGUCUGAGAGGAUGACCAGCCACACUGGAACUGAGACACGGUCCAGACUCCUACGGGAGGCAGCAGUGGGGAAUAUUGCACAAUGGGCGCAAGCCUGAUGCAGCCAUGCCGCGUGUAUGAAGAAGGCCUUCGGGUUGUAAAGUACUUUCAGCGGGGAGGAAGGGAGUAAAGUUAAUACCUUUGCUCAUUGACGUUACCCGCAGAAGAAGCACCGGCUAACUCCGUGCCAGCAGCCGCGGUAAUACGGAGGGUGCAAGCGUUAAUCGGAAUUACUGGGCGUAAAGCGCACGCAGGCGGUUUGUUAAGUCAGAUGUGAAAUCCCCGGGCUCAACCUGGGAACUGCAUCUGAUACUGGCAAGCUUGAGUCUCGUAGAGGGGGGUAGAAUUCCAGGUGUAGCGGUGAAAUGCGUAGAGAUCUGGAGGAAUACCGGUGGCGAAGGCGGCCCCCUGGACGAAGACUGACGCUCAGGUGCGAAAGCGUGGGGAGCAAACAGGAUUAGAUACCCUGGUAGUCCACGCCGUAAACGAUGUCGACUUGGAGGCUUGGCCGGCGUGGCUUCCGGAGCUAACGCGUUAAGUCGACCGCCUGGGGAGUACGGCCGCAAGGUUAAAACUCAAAUGAAUUGACGGGGGCCCGCACAAGCGGUGGAGCAUGUGGUUUAAUUCGAUGCAACGCGAAGAACCUUACCUGGUCUUGACAUCCACGGAAGUUUUCAGAGAUGAGAAUGUGCCUUCGGGAACCGUGAGACAGGUGCUGCAUGGCUGUCGUCAGCUCGUGUUGUGAAAUGUUGGGUUAAGUCCCGCAACGAGCGCAACCCUUAUCCUUUGUUGCCAGCGGUCCGGCCGGGAACUCAAAGGAGACUGCCAGUGAUAAACUGGAGGAAGGUGGGGAUGACGUCAAGUCAUCAUGGCCCUUACGACCAGGGCUACACACGUGCUACAAUGGCGCAUACAAAGAGAAGCGACCUCGCGAGAGCAAGCGGACCUCAUAAAGUGCGUCGUAGUCCGGAUUGGAGUCUGCAACUCGACUCCAUGAAGUCGGAAUCGCUAGUAAUCGUGGAUCAGAAUGCCACGGUGAAUACGUUCCCGGGCCUUGUACACACCGCCCGUCACACCAUGGGAGUGGGUUGCAAAAGAAGUAGGUAGCUUAACCUUCGGGAGGGCGCUUACCACUUUGUGAUUCAUGACUGGGGUGAAGUCGUAACAAGGUAACCGUAGGGGAACCUGCGGUUG